UCCCGCAGUUAUUGCACCAGGAGUUGUGAACUCUUCAGAUCUCACAAGCCAAGCAGGGCCAGGAUUGUUCACGUAGUUAAAUGGGAGACCAUGAAAGAAAAGCCAGGAUGCUGCAC
rnacentral:rRNA from 1 species